AGAAGGAAUCAGGAGGCAGAGCACAUGGUUAAAGCAUGAGAUGUGAAACCAGGAAGAACCAGGUCUGAACCUUAGCUCCACCAGUGGUAGCCCCAAACCUUGGUCCUUUCUGAGCCUGCUUCUUCAACCCUAAGGGAACGCUACACUUCCUUAGAAAUUAAGAGUGUGUGCUACACUGCUUUACCAGAGCAAGACCAAAAGCAGCUUCAAUUAUGGUACAACUGUGUGAAGACACAAUGCGAAACCACUCAAGAAUGCUCACUCAAAUGGAUUUUUACCAUGGAACUCGGAAACGGGACCCAGAAAGUUGUUUUCUGCAAGUGGAUGGAACAACACAAGCAAUCAUUCUCUGCAUCUUAAUUCCCUCAUCUGUAAAAUGGAAAUAAUACACCUACCUUCUCAGUUUACUGUGAGGAAAAAAUGAAUCAAUACAUAUAUAAAGCACCUGGCACAGUGCGUGGCAUAGGAGGUUUCCUUGGGAAUUCCUUCAGAAGUUAAAUAGCUUACCCAAGGUGUCACAACUACGUAAGGUGGCCCAGCUCAAGAUUCAAAUGCAAGUUCAUAUGAUUCUGAA
rnacentral:antisense_RNA from 1 species